rnacentral:rRNA from 1 species
AACUUUCAACAACGGAUCUCUUGGUUCCCGCAUCGAUGACAGAACGCAGCGAAACGCGAUAGUUAAUGUGAAUUGCAGAAUUCAGUGAAUCAUCGAGUCUUUGAACGCACAUUGCGCCCAUUGGUAUUCCUUUGGGCAUGUCUGUUUGAGCGUCAUU